GGUGAAGAACGCAGCGAAAUGCGAUAAGUAGUGUGAAUUGCAGAAUUCAGAGAAUCAUCGAAUCUUUGAACGCACAUUGCGCCCUUUGGUAUUCCUUAGGGCAUGCCUGUUCGAGCGUCAUUUAAACCUUCAAGCUCAGCUUGGUGUUGGGUGACUGUCCGCUUCACCGCGGACUCGCCUCAAAAUUAUUGGCGGCCGGUACAUUGGCUUCGAGCGCAGCAGAAACGCGAACUCGGGCCCGUCGUAUUGGCUCCCAGAAGCUAUCUUCACAAUUUUGACCUCGGAUCAGGUAGGGAUACCCGCUGAACUUAAGCAUAUCAAUAAGCGGAGGA
rnacentral:misc_RNA from 1 species